rnacentral:rRNA from 1 species
GAUGAACGCUGGCGGCGUGCCUAAUACAUGCAAGUCGAGCGAACAGACGAGGAGCUUGCUCCUCUGACGUUAGCGGCGGACGGGUGAGUAACACGGGGAUAACCUACCUAUAAGACUGGGAUAACUUCGGGAAACCGGAGCUAAUACCGGAUAAUAUAUUGAACCGCAUGGUUCAAUAGUGAAAGACGGCUUUGCUGUCACUUAUAGAUGGAUCUGCGCCGCAUUAGCUAGUUGGUAAGGUAACGGCUUACCAAGGCAACGAUGCGUAGCCGACCUGAGAGGGUGAUCGGCCACACUGGAAGUGAGACACGGUCCAGACUCCUACGGGAGGCAGCAGUAGGGAAUCUUCCGCAAUGGGCGAAAGCCUGACGGAGCAACGCCGCGUGAGUGAUGAAGGUCUUCGGAUCGUAAAACUCUGUUAUUAGGGAAGAACAAAUGUGUAAGUAACUAUGCACGUCUUGACGGUACCUAAUCAGAAAGCCACGGCUAACUACGUG